AUGUUGAGCGACUGGAUUGUUGGAAUCAUUAACCUACUCCUGGUUGUACGGAUCUUCGACGGAUCGGAUCUUAAGUCAAAAUGAACGAAAGUUUAUAUCUUUGGAUGGAACACUUUUCUUCUCAUAUGUCACUGCAGAGGAUGAGGAUAGCUAUGCCUGCUCACUUUCUGUCUACUCUACACAAUCUGGGCACUAUGGACCAUUCUUCAGACUAAUUUCUUCCACUCCAAAACUUGUAAAUUCAACGUUCCCACCGAAAUUGGACUCUACCCAGCCUCAAAUCUUUCCUGAAGACCCAAAAGUUGGAGAUUCAAUUUAUCUGGAAUGUUUUGCAUAUGCCAGUCCACUUCCUCAGUAUAAAUGGUCUCGAGUAGAUGGGAAGCCUAUUCCAGCACGAUCGCACAUUUCAAAUUAUGGGCGAGUUUUGAAGAUUGAAAAAGUGAAUUAUGGAGAUGCUGGAAAGUACAAGUGUGUAGCUAUGAAUGCAUUUGGGUCUGCUGCUGGAGAAGUUCAUGUCAAAUUAAGAGCGCCACCAUCCAUCCUACAAGGAUUGCAUGAUCGUCUUGUUCCAACCGAGUCAAAUGUCAGCUUCGAAUGUCUCUUAUCAAAUGCUGAUAGUUAUUCAUCUGUGGAAUGGUUUAAGGAUGCAAAACCAAUUGUUCCAUUACUUCUUCCCGCUGAAAAACGAAAGCGUCUAAAAAUAGAUCACAACGUUCUUCACCUGAAGUUUGCUGAUGAAACCGAUUCCGGAGUCUACCAAUGUGUAGCUUCAAAUGAUGUUGGAAGCUCAUCAAGUUCUGCACUCCUAACAGUAAAAGAUUCUGCUCCAGUGUUCCCUCCAAAUGCGAUGUCGAGAAAAGUAUUCGCAGCAUUUGGAUCAACAGUUAGCAUACCAUGCAUCUUUGAAGCUUCGCCUAGAUUCCAUGGAAAAUGGGCAGAUGCUGGAGGAUCAAAGCUUCCACAAAAGGGAAGGAUCAGAGAUGAGGAGGGAGUUAUUAGCAUUGAGAAGGUACUUCAUGAAGAUGCUGGAUUAUUCUUCUGUACUGCUCAUAAUAAACUUGGAAAAGCUCACGCUCAAGUUCAAUUGAUCGUCGUAAAUAAGCCAUCAAUCAAGACAAACUUUUUGGAUGAAGAGACUGUAAACAUGAGUUGUGAAGUUGAAUUAACAUGUGAAAAUAGUGCAGAAUGCCCUGAAGCUCUAUUUGAAUGGAAAAUCAAUGAUCGACCAGCCAAGGAAUAUCCAUCACUGAAAUCAAAAGUUCAUGAGAAGAAAUCAGGGCACAAGGGACGUCACUUGAAGCAGAAAGUUGAUCUUGAAGUUCCAAAAAGUUUGGCAGGAAGCCGACAAAUCGGAAGAUUCGCGUGCUCAUCACUGUAUGGAGGAAGUUCAGAGUUUGUGACCAAACCUCAGCUCCCAUCACCAAUUGCGUUAACAGUUGAACAGAUGGAUGAGGAUGGGAAGAAGAAGAAAAUGUUCAGAUUGAGAUGGAGACUUCCACCUCAACAUAGGGAUACUAGAGAUCAUUCGCCAAAAGUUGAAGGAUAUCUUGUGGAACUUCGAACGCGUAAAAAUCGGAAAUGGAGAGCAGCAGAACGUCAACUAGUUGGGAAUAUGGAAAAGGACAGUAUCACUGUCGAGAAUCUUCUGCCGAACACUGAAUAUCAAUUCCGUGUCCGAUCAGUCGAAUCCGCUGCAAUUGGGGAACCAUCGAUUCCAAGUGAUUGGGUUAAAACGGCUCCUGGAGCCCCAUCUGAAACUAUUGAUAAUCUGAAAUGGAGAUCUUUGGAUUCACAGACGUUGCUCGUUGAAUGGCAGCCUAUCGAAAUAGGACAAGAAUCUUCUGGAGACAAUUUGAGAUAUCGAGUUUCAUGGAGUGAAGCUACAGUUGGAAAGAAUGCAACUGAUGAUAUGAAACUUUCAAAUCAAGAUGAUGACUUUGAAAAUCAUUUAGAUUCCGAUCAACCACAAGCAAUUUUGAAGUUGAACACCACCGAGGGCUGCAGGAUGGUUGUGCUGGCCGUUCGGCCAGUCAAUGAUCAAGGAAAUGGGAGUGUUGGCACAGAUACUAUUGCGUUUCUAAAUAGCCAUGGUGAACUCAAAAAAGUGUCACUUCACAACGUGAAACCAAUCAACGCAUCGCAUGUGAACAUCUCAUGGACAUGGGACAACACUUCCGAUUGUGAUACCAAACACGCCGUUCAAAUAACCUGUAUCAAUCUAUCGGGAUCCGAAAUCUCUGCAACUGUUGCCAGCGAUCGAAUAUUCUGGAUGUUGGGUGGACUGGAGGCAGAAACUGCUUACGAUUGUGAUCUAAAAGCAAUCGAUAAUCAUGGCAGUUUCGGGCCGGCUAGUAAGAAGUUCAGAAUUCACACGAAACAGCAUCCACCGAGUGAAACGCCGUUGAUCGGGAAGUUGAUGAUGAAACAGAUGAAGGAUACCUACACUACAAUUCUGGAAUGGUCAUCCAUCGAACUUCAGAAACCGAAUAGAACAGAAAAUGGAUGUGGAUAUAAAAUCUUCAUCUACAUAUCUGAAACUGCUACUGAAGCAAUUGAGCUUGACAUGCCACUGCAACGUCUUUCGGAUCGUCGGAAUCCAUCGGCUCGUCUAGAUGGAUUGAAGCUGAUGUACAUGUACACAAUUAAAGUUGCAGGAUAUAAUCCUGGAGGCAUCGGUCCUAUCAGCGAGCCUCGAAGUAUACGACUAGGUUCCCCGGGAACCAUGGAUUAUACAACUGGAAGCUCCGAUGUACCAAUUCCAUCUCUAUUGUUAUUAUUGUUAUUAUUACUAUGGAGACUCUAA
rnacentral:misc_RNA from 1 species